rnacentral:rRNA from 1 species
UACGUAGGGGGCAAGCGUUGUCCGGAUUUCUUGGGCGUAAAGAGCGUGUAGGCGGUUAGGUAGGUCCGUUGUGAAAACUCGAGGCUCAACCUCGAGACGCCGAUGGAAACCAUCUGACUAGAGUCCGGAAGAGGAGAGUGGAAUUCCUGGUGUAGCGGUGAAAUGCGCAGAUAUCAGGAAGAACACCCGUGGCUAAGGCGGCUCUCUAGUACGUGACUGACGCUGAGACGCGAAAGCGUGGGGAGCGAACAGG